rnacentral:lncRNA from 1 species
AAUAAACUAAUUAUUAUUUAAUUAAAUCAAACCUACGUGGCUGUACGAAUUACCCAUUGGAAUUACCUACUUACAACUAUUAGAAAUAAAAAUUGACCUUAAUUACUAAAGCUUUGUAAAAAGCUUGUUAACUUGAUUGGCAUUUACAAAAAAAUCUAUUACAAUUAAAGUAACUCUAAUGAGCCAUUAUUUGAACUUAACUCAUGCCUAUUAAUUAGUCACCUUAUACAAGAACAAUCCUAAUAUGUUUUACAUACAUAUAUUAUUUGUAUAACCGGAGAACACAUAAUAAGUAUCUAACUAAAAAUACAAAUAUUCUAUGUCAAAACGCAUAGAUUUUCUGGCUAUUUCACUUCAAUGUCAAGGCGUACAUCAAAGUGAUUCAAAGAGGUGUACCUGGUAUUGGAAUACAAAGAAGUGGAAGAUCAGUGGGGAGCAAUAGCAGCACACACACACAGCAACAUCAGUUCAACAACCCCGGAAUAAACCCGUAACAGUAGGAAUAGCCGAAAACCUAGGAGAUUACAACCAAGCAGAAAAACCAGGAAUUUCCAAAUCAACCGAAAACCAACAGUAAACCCAAGCAACACUACAUGAAUAUUAGUAGUACUAGAAAAUACACACAAGCGAAGCGGAGAAAGAACCAGUUGCAAGAGAAAGCAGUAGCUUCUGAUUUAUUUUAACACUCAAAGAAAAGAAACCUCAAACUUGAAUGAAACAAUAGCACUUAAGGCUGAUUUCAACAGUGAAAGAAAACUGAAAAUCUUCAGUAUGUAGCUCUCCAAAGCCUCCAACUCUAAUGUUUAGAAGUCUGUUUAUAUUUCCUUUUAAGUUUCUGAAAUUCUGCUCUCAAAAAUUCCGUCCCUUUAAGUGUCAAAUGAGUCCUCUUUUAGGCAGUCUUUUUCUUUUCUUUUUACCUCUUUCCUUUAACUUUUAAACUACUAUUACUAAUCCUUUUACCUCUUUUACUUUCUAGCCCAUAUUCUUCUAACUAUGUGACUUUUUAACUUUUUAUUAUUAACUAUUUUAUUUCUGAUUUGAAUUAAGAAAAAAGUAGUCAACGCGGACUCCACAGUCCCCCCUUUUUUCAUUGGUCAAAAAAGACCUCAUUAUUAAUCCCCUUUUACUUUUCAUAAUUAUGUCUUAUCCCCCACUAUAUUAUUUUAAUAAUACUUUAAUCUAGUGGACAAAGCACUUAAAUUAAAUAAUUGUUCAAAUUUUAAAUUCUAAUAAUACACCCAAAAUUACUAUAAAUUACUAUUAUACCCUUGUCAGCUCUAACCAAUUCACCUAAAUCAAUUAGCCAAAAUAUAGCAGCUAUAACCAAUUCUUAAUCAAAUUCAGUAACAAAUUCAAAUUAUAUGGUGAACAACAAAGAACCAACUAAAAAUUAUUUUAACUAAACAACAUUUUUAACAACAAACAUACUUUCAGAUUCAACAACAAUAACAAACAAGUAAAUUCAAAUCACUAAACUCAGAUUCAAAUUAAACUUAACAGCUCAAACAAACAAAUUCAAAUCUCUAACUCAGAUCCAAAUUUAGACUUAACACAAAAAUAAAACAGAUUCAAAUCACUAAACUCAAUAAUCAAUUGAACUUCAAAUUCAAUCUAACAAUAUUGCAACAAAGAUAAAAGAUUUAUUAAACUAAUACACUUCUAUAUUAAAACUAAAUUCAUUUAAAUGAAUAAAAAAACUUAAGAAAUAAAUAAGAAAAUGAUAACCAACUAACAAGAAAAUAAUCAAACAUAUGCUGAUGUUAGAUCCGAAAAUAUCAAACAAAAUACGAAUAAAAAUGAAACUUAAACCAACUAACCGGAUAAAAACCACGACAAACUCAAAUGGAAACAAAUCUGCCCGGAAACUUUGAAACCAAAAUAAACUCGAAUCUGCUCGAAAUCUCAACAACGACCUCGGACUGCUUACUCUUUGAACUUGAACGGAACCAAUAAUCAAUAGACAAACCUGGAGUUGGCGAAGAAGUUGAUGAUGCAACGAGAUGGGGUGCUUUGGGUUUUCGUUUGGAUGUGAUGAAUGAGUGGUCGUUGGUGGCUGGGGACGGGACAGUGGGGUCGUUAACUGGACGACGGUGGCUUAAUGAGGGGUAGAUAGUCGUGGUUGUUGGGAAAAAUGGGAAGGGCAGCCAUGUUUGACGGGCAGAUGAAGUUGGACGACAAAGACGUGGGUGGUUGACGGAAGGCGUCGUUGGUCGACUUGUUAUUUGGAUGGUUCAUGUCUGGAAAUAGUGGGGUGGUCUUUGAGAUGGGACGAACAACUGAAAGGGUCAUUUGGUUGGCGAUGAGUAGCUAUGGUCGCUUGAACAAAGCUGGUGGCGGGCACCGGCUGCGUCGAUGGUGGCGAGCUGACUGGGACGAUGAUGUGCUGGAGAUUAAUGCAGCAGCAGCUGCAUCGACGGUGGCGAGCUGACUGGGAUGACGACGUGACAGUGAUGGAGGACGACAGGCUGUGGCUAUGGAGUUUUUGUGGCUGGGUUAAGGCGAUGGUGGUGAUGGUGGUUCGACGUGGUUCAUGGGAGGAAGAUGUCGACAGAUAGUGAAGUGUUCUACGGAAAUGGUGGUUUGUCGACAAAGUGUUGGCGACGAUGGUAGUGAUUGGUUGUUUGAGCUGGUUCUGGCAGUAGGGAGGGGUCUUAGUGUUUGGUGAAGAAAAAGAGAGGCUAGGGUUUUUUGUUCUCUCUAGUUCAAAAAAUAUCUGAUGGGUUUUGAUUAUUUGGGGGUUGGACCGGAUCAAGGAUUUUGGGUUGGGUAGGGGAUGUUUUUGGGCCUAGGUUUAAUUCAAGAAUUGACACAAUUCCGAUUUUCGUUCUAUUUUUUGCUCUCCUUCUUUUACUUAAAAAUUAAAAUCCUAAAUUAAAUUAUAAACUACAUUAACUUAUCAAAAAUACUAAUUAACUCCCAACAAUAAUUAUCAUACUCAGUUAAAAACUAAUUAAAUGAAAAUUGCACAAUUUGAUAUUAUUUGCUAAAAAUGCAAAGUAUGUUAUUUUUUGUGAUAUUUUUAUUUUUGUAAAACACUUUUUAUUAUAAAAUUAAAUCCAAAAUGCAAAUGCGACAUAUUUUUUGUACUUUUUCUAUUAAUUUAAACAAAUAAACAUGCACACCCCAACACAAAUAAUUAAUAAAAUAUCAAGAAAAAUUCUCGAAAUGCACAUAAUAAAACAGACAAUUUUCGUUUUAAUUUUUUGGGAGUAAUUCAUGCGAGGGAAAAAUCACGUGCUCACAGCGAGCAUUGUAAGGCGACGGUAAGAAGAGAUAAAUAAAUGAGAGAAGUUUGUUGGUGAAAAUCCCUCGGGAUGCCACUAGUCGAAAGUGAGUCGUAAAGCUGAUACGAAGAAUUGACAUAAACAUGCCCGACUUCAUAGGUCAUAAGAAUGGUAAAAGGAAGGAUUAGAUUAGUUUUAUAGAUCAGGCCGUUGAGUCUGUUGAGUCCAAAAUGCAUGCCAUGAUCAUUAAGGCUAGUAAUUAGAAAAAAAAAGAGAAAAUAGAGAAUAAAGAAAAAGAAAUAAAAACAUUUCCUUCUGUCCUUCAGACAGGGGAAUUUCUUGUUAAUAGUUUCUCUUUGCAUCAUUGUGCCCUUCACUUUGACUCAGUCCUAUCAAAAUAAGUAAGAAAAGAUUUCAAAAGAUGCAACCAUCUUUUCAGUUGCAUAAAGUAAAUUUGGCCAGCACACUCAGUUGUUACUUUCAACAUGCCUCGAGGAUCAUGCAAAAGGUCCCCCCAAAAGACUCUUGUCAGCCUGCUUGGCAUAGGCAAAGAUAACUUGUGAUUUUCUCUGACAGACAAAAUGCUUAAAAGUAGGAAGUCAUUCAAGAUAUCAGAAAAGUCGCCUAGUAAAGAUCACCAAAUGAAAUAAGGCUGAUUGAGCCACAAAUACAAAUGGUACUAGGCGUGAAACAAUCAGAGUUGAUGCAAAGCAAAAGUCUCUUGAAAUCGAUUCAAGCUCAUUGAGCAAAAGCCAAGCUACCUAGGACUCAAGGCCACAAACCGACCACCACUUUUAAAAGUAACGAACUUUUAUUUGUUUGAAAUAGUACCAAAGCAGUGGAAGGAUAGUUGAAAAAGUGAAAGAGAAAAGAAAAAAAAAGAACCAACAAAGGAAAGUUUUUCAAAUCUUUGCCUUUAUUUUUUUGCUGGUGUGCAUAAAUUUUGCCAUUGCCCUUCAUAUAUUUUCUCCAAGGAUAAAAGGUCCUAGUUUUAUGGAUUUUCCUUCCAAUAAAAAUCUUUGUCUGAUGAAUAUUUCUCCUAAGAUAACAAAAAAAUAGAAAUCUUAGUGUGAUGAUUCCUUUUUCUAAGAUAGAAAACCUAGUCCGAUGAAUCUUUCUCCUAGGAUAAACGUCUUAGUCUGAUGAAAUUUUCUCUAGGAUAAAAAUCUUAAUCUGAUGAAACUUUCUCCUGAGAUAGAAGACCUAGUCUGAUGAACUUUUUCAUAGGAUAGAAAUCUUAGUCUGAUGAAUUUUUCUCCUAAGAUACAAAAAAAAGAAAGAAGAAAAGAGCCUUAGUCAGAUGAACUUUCUCCUAGGAUGAAAAUCUUAGUCUGAUGAAUCUAUCUCCUGAGAUUAAACCUACUCUGAUGAAUUUUCUCCUAGGAUAAUAAUUGCUUUAUUAAAACAAUGGGGAAGUUUGGAUUUGAAAAAAGGGGCCAAUUUUUAGUUUUUUUAAGUUAUCAAUGUUUAGUUUUCUUGAAAUCAGGGGCCCCGCCUAGAGAAUAGGAUCAGUCUUUACUUUAGUCAAGCUUAGUUUAUAGUUUUCCGCAAGCUCAAUCACUUUUAGGUGACUCACAUCCUAGUCGAGUCAUUAAUUUUUCUCUCAUCAUGGCAUCUUUCAUCAACAGCCUAGGUGACUUAUGUUUUGCUAAUAACUCUCAAAUCUUCCUAGUGCAAACUGAGGCAGAAAAGUUUCUUUUGUUUUGUCUGUUUUGUUGUAGUAGUAGGCACCCACCUAGAGAACAAGGGAAUUCGUUUUGGAAUUAUUUUAAGUUUCAAGUCAGUAGCAGGCGCCUACUUGGAGAACGAGGGAAGUCAUUUCAGAAGUCAAUUCAAGUUAGAAGUAACGGAAGCUUGCCUAAAAAACGCGAGUCAACAGUUCGAGAUUACCAAAAAGAAGUCUCAAUCAAGAACAAAAGAAAACGAAAAUAAAGUGAAUCCAAAGUGCAUUAGCGGAGAAAAGAUGAGGACUGCUGAAGAUAUAAUUGAAGUCACAAGCUCCGGGUGUCCCAUUUUGAUAUGAAAAAGUUGAAGAAGAUUGAACCACCACCUGCAGCUAACAAUCAUCAAGAUUCGAUCAGAGUCCGCAUGAAGAAACAACCAAGACUAAAGAUCAAGCUUUAGAAGACUCAUAGAUAGGAAUCUUGUAACUCAUAGUAGAUAGGCUUAGUUAGUCUUUUUCAUUUUGAUUUUGAUGUAAUAACGGAAUCGUGGAUCGGAACCUCGACGACACCUCAAUCGGCUCUCCACCUCGGUAUACUCUAUCACUCUUCCUAAUUCUGAAUUACACGUGGCCUGAUUCCUUUAUAGAUAAGGAUAUGUAGGCAGCUAAGAUAACAGGGCUCGGUGACAUUCUCUUAGUUUUUUAUCUGUUCUCUAAACAAGGGUCAAUUCAAAAAACCUGUCUCGUCGUUCUUUGUCUGAAAACUCUUCGCAUUUCGACCAAAGAGGGGCAACCGUAAUUCAUGUAAUUUUUGACUCUCCCCAAUAUUUUAUACAUCUUAGUGUAACCAUUUAAUUUAGGAUUAAUAUCGCUAUUCUAAAUAGUGUUGACUCUUUUAAUUUAUUUUCAUCACGAAAAAAUAAAAAAAUUACAAAAAUAUUUUUUUUAUCUUUAGGUUAAAGUAAAUUAGUAGAUUUAUAUAUAUAGUAUUAUAACAUUUGAAAAUAUGAAAAACAAAUUUAGUUUCACUAGUAGUAUUUAGUUUUAUAAUAGUUUAUUUUAAUUUAGAGUGAUUUUUAUAUUUUUGUAGAUACAUUAUAUAAUUUGGUCUUUUUAGCCUAAGUUCAAACCCAAAGACAUGGUCUAAUCCAAUUACCCUUAGCCAUUUCUUCCCAACUCAUUAAUCCAUUUAAAUGCAAGAUUUAAUCCUAGCCAUCUAUUUUCUUCUAAUGCAAUGGUCAUCAUCCCUUCCCACAUAAUGUUAAAAUACCCAAUUAGAGAAACUCUACUCUAGUUUUUAAUUCCUAGAGCCUAAGACCCUAGAACCUAGGAAUGCCUUCAGCAGUUUCCUUUCUUAUUCAGUUCACCCAAAAUUCCAAAAAGAGGACCGUGACGACCCAAAGGGUCAUCACCGUAAUUCUCCCUUUUUUUGUGCGUAUGAGGCUUUGAAAACCCCUUAUUUGGUCGCCUCAAUUUGCGUGCGCAUUUCGGGCGCGAUGCCGUAAAAUUUUUAUGUGGAAAUAUUUGAAUUAUGUGUUAAAAACUAUGAAUUUUGAUAAUAAUAUUGCUAUAGUUGACCUUUGUCAACGUUUUUGGUAAACAGACCCGCACCCGUGAUGGGACGGUCCCAGAGGGUCUAUAAGGAAAUUUAGGACCCGGGCGUAUUCCAGGAAUCAAAAUCGGAGGUCCCAGGCCCGAGUACGGAGUUUUUCUGUGAAAUUGUUUUCUUCAAAAAAUGCUUAAGGAAAAAUGAAAAUGAAAAUUGAUCAAAAGUGAUAGUAUCGGGCUCGUAUUAUGGUUUCAACGGCCGGUACAAGUCUUAAAUGAGCGUUAAGCGCUAUCUGUAAAGUUUGGUUGAAAAUGGACUUUGUUUGACGUGUUUCAGACUAAAAAUAGAAAAUUUGAAAGUUUGAACUUUGACAUGAGAAUCAUGAGUUUUAAAGGUUGAUUCUUUGGAUUUUAUGUUAUUUUGGCAAUUUGAUCGCACGAGUAAAUCCGUAGGAUGCUUUUGAGGUGGGGUGCAUGUUUGGGUUGGAGCCCCUAGGGCUCGGGUGUGUUUCGGAUAGGUGUUAGGCUCAUUUGAAGCAUUUUUGACUGCUGGUAUCUGUAGUCUUCGCACUUGCGAAUACUUAUUCGCAAAUGCGAACUUCCCCCUUUUGCCUGCUUUUUUGCAAAUGCAAGGAAAGAACUCGCAAUUGCGAACCUCCCUUGUUUGUCCAGACUUCGUAAAUGCAAAGUUUUUCUUGCAAAUGCGAUCAUUCCCCUUUGCAUCCAGACUUCGCAAAUGCGAAGUCAACCUCGCAAAUGUGAACAAUCUCUCGCAAAUGCGAGAUUUCCUUAUUUUUUUGCCAGUUCGCAAAUGCGAAGUCAAUAUCGCAUUUACGACAUCUGCAAUUGUGCAACUUAUACAUAGCCUAUUUCAAACUUCAUUUUUCAUAUUUUCAAAACCCAAACCUCUAUUGGGGAUUUUCUCUCGACUCUUUCUCUCCCAAAUCACUUGUAAGUCAACGUUUACUCAAUUUCUUCAAACUUUGACAUCUUUUAUCAUGAUUUUAGCUUAAAAUCAAAGCUUUCAAUGGGUAAAAAUGGGGAUUUGGGGUAUAACCUAGGAUUUUAUCAUGAUUUAAGCUUAUAAUCAAAGCUUUCAAUGGGUAAAAAUGGGAUUUGGGGUAGAACCUAGGUUUUCAUAAAAUUGGGGAUUUGGACCUCAAUUUGGGAUCUGAUUUCAAAACAAAUUGCAUAUAUGAACUCAUGGGGGAAUGGGUAACCAGGUUUUGGUUCGAACCUCAAGUUUUGACCAUGUGGGUCCGAGGACAUUUUGGAAAUUUUUGGGUAAAACUUUUGGAAUUUCAUUCUUAUGCAUUCAAAUUGAUUUAACUAGCAUUUGUUGAUACAUUUGAGUAAAUUAUGGUUAGAUUCGACCAGUUUUGAGGCGAAUUCGAGGGGUAAAGCUAUUCUAAUGGCGUGAGUUUAUGAGUAAAUUGUGGGUUUGAUUCGACCGGUUUUGAGGUGAAUUCGAGGGGUAAAGCUAUUAUAGAGGCGUGAGUUGACUUGGAAGCUUUCGAGGUAAGUGUUUGAUCUAACUUUGGCUUGAGGGAAUGUGAUUAGGUUGUUAUUUGCUAUGUGCUACGUGGAGUUGGUGUAUAGGUAUGGUGAUGGUUUCCUAUGCGCCCGAGUCAAGCAUGAACGUGGUGUCAUAUUUGUCAUUAAAAUUUGCGAAAGAAGUGAAAAAUUGUGAUAAUUACUUGUUACAAGAACUAUGAAGUGAAAGUUGAGAAGUAAAUGAACUAAAGAGGAAUUUUUGGUACUUUUCCCUUGCCGGGAUUUCUUGUUGAUCUGUUUUCCCUUGCCGGGACCUAUUGUUGAGUUGUAUUCCCUUGCCGGGAUUUAUUGUUGAAUUAUUCUACCUUGCUGAGAUAGUUAGUUUUGAUAUAUAUUUCCUUUGUCGUUUGGUUGUGACCAUUGAUUGGGUGAGGAAGAGAGAGUAAAAGCACGAAGGGUGAUGUCGUNNNNNNNNNNNNNNNNNNNNNNNNNNNNNNNNNNNNNNNNNNNNNNNNNNNNNNNNNNNNNNNNNNNNNNNNNNNNNNNNNNNNNNNNNNNNNNNNNNNNNNNNNNNNNNNNNNNNNNNNNNNNNNNNNNNNNNNNNNNNNNNNNNNNNNNNNNNNNNNNNNNNNNNNNNNNNNNNNNNNNNNNNNNNNNNNNNNNNNNNGAAUGCCGUGCAUUAUAUUUGACAGUUUUGGUGAGGAAUGAGAGUAAAAGCACGUAGGCUGAUGCCGUGCGGUUGUUGAUUCAUUGACUUUAUUAUUUAAUUAUUAUUUAUUCAGUUCCAUCUCUUGAUUGUAGAAGUUAUAAUUGAACUGCUACGAAUGAGAGUAAAAGCACGAAGGGUGAUGCCGUGCAGUUGUUGAUUAAUUGACUUUCUUAUUUAAUUAUUAUUUAUUCAGUUCCAUCUCCUGUUUGUAGAAGUUAUAAUUGAACUGCUACUACCCCAGCAUGUCCCUUUCCCUUUUAUUUGUUUAAAUUCCUUUUCUCUUUCUGUUAUUGCAUAUAUCUGUACAGGUUGUUUGUGGUAGGUUUGGUUUAGCCUCGUCACUACCUCACCGAGGUUAGGAAGGGCACUUACCAACACAUGGGGUUGGUUGUGCUGAUACUAUGCUUUUGUGCCUUUUAUGCACAGGUCAGGACACAACCUACGGACCGCAGCAAUAGUUAGGGGCGAUCCUUCAGUCCAGAGACUCUAAGGUAGUUCGCUGGCGUUCGCAGGCCCCAAGUAUCCUCUAUCUAUUUCUCUUAGUUUGUUUAAUUGUAUCAAACAGACAUGUUAUGUAUUACUUUCAGAUUGUUGUUUUUAGUACUCUUUUAGUCGUUUGUGAGCAGUGACACCAGAUACUGGGUAGAAGUAUGUUAUUAAUUUUCCGCAUUAUUGUCAUUUCUAAUAUUGCUAAUAGUCUUCCGUGUGUUUUAAUUAAUUAUUUCAGUAUCUUAUUUGCUUUAGAUUAAAGUUAUUGUGAAAAGGAUUAAAAAUGGGUUGGAUUGCCUAGCUUCGACAGUUGGCGCCAUCACAGCUCCCGAUUGUGGUAAAUUCAGGUCGUGACAAGUUGGUAUAAGAGCACUAGGUUACUUGGGUCUCACAACUCACGGACAAGCUCGGUAGAGUCUUAGGGAUCGGUACAGAGACGUUUGUAUUUAUCCCCUAUAGGCUACAGAGUUAGGAAAAGUUUCACUUUGUUCAUUCUUGUUGUGCGAUUCUGUUUCUCAAAUAUUGAUUGUCGUUCUACUCCGUUCCUUCGCGGGAUGGAGAGAACACGUGCGUCUUCUUCUUCCGCGCAGCACCCCGAGCCCCCAGCAGCAGCUCCCACGAGGGGCAAGGGCCGAGGCAUUCUACUCUGUUCUUUUGCAGGUGGCGAUAACACAUGCAUCUUCUUCUUUCGCGCAGCAGCCCGAGCCCCCAGCAGCAGCUCCCGCGAGGGGCAGGGGCCGAGGCCGUGCCAGAGGCUGUGGCAGGGGCAGAGCUCAGCCCCAGGCAGCAGUUCCAGAGGUGGAGCCUCAUAUUGACUUUGAUGAGGACGUUCCAGCUCCCCCAGCUCCAGUGGGCCCAGCUCAGGUCCCAGGAGGGGUGAUGUUUCCCCCGAAUCUUCAGAAUGCUCUUGUCCGCAUAGCAGGCUUUAUGAUUGGGUCUGCAGGAUGGCAUCCCGUUAGUUCCACAGUGGGCCAAUAUCAGAUCCCAGGAGAAGUGAUGUUUUCUUCGGAUCUUCAGGAUGCUCUUGUUCGCAUAGCAGGCUUUAUGGACAGUGUCGCUAGAUCGGGAUCGCUGCCAGUAGCACCAACCACUUCUCAUGUUGGAGGAGGGGUUCAGACUCCUGCUACACGUACUCCGGAGUAGGUAGCUCGCUCCCUAGACUCAAGUUCCAUUGGUUCAUCCCGCAGUGGCAGCUUAGAUAGGCAUUACAGCUCAUGCCGGAGAUGGGAUGGCUAUGUCUUUGGAUGCUUUGUGGAGACUUGAUCGAUUUUCCAAGAUUGUCACUACUACUUUUAGCGGUGCUUCAUCAGAGGAUCCCCAGGAUUUUCUAUACAGUUGCCAUGAGAUCCUCAGGACUAUGGGGAUAGUGGAGACCAAUGGGCUCGAUUUUUGCACUUUCAGGCUUGUGGGAUCCGCCAAGUCUUGGUUGAGAGAUUAUUCCAUAUCUAGACCAUAAGGGUCCCCGGCUUUGACAUGGGAUCAGUUUGCAGAGUUAUUUUUGGAGAAGUUUCUCCCUGUCACUUAGCGGGAGGCACUUUGCAGGCAGUUUGAGCGCCUUCACCAGGGCUACAUGACAGUUACAUGGUAUGAGAUUAGAUUUGUUGACUUGGCACGCCAUGCAGUAGUGAUACUCUCUACAGAACGAGAGAGGGUCCGGAGGUUUAUUGAUGGAUUGAUUCAGCCCAUUCGCCUUCAGAUAGCUGUGGGAGUUGGCAGUGAUAUUACUUUUCAGGAGUCGGCCAAUGCGGCCUGCCGAGUAGAGAUGGCAUUAGCUCGAGGAGGUAGUCACGGUUCAGACAAGAGGCCUCGACAUUCUAGAAGAUUUAGUGGUACCACAUCUGGAGGUAGGUAUUUCCAUGAUCGAGGCCAUCCCCCGCGACCUUUCCAGUAGGCACUUUAGGUUUCUCAUGGUACACCAGGAUGUGGUGGUCAUCAGCAGUAUUAUUCAGAUUAGCAGUCUUUCAGCGCACCACCAGCCCUCAACAGUGCACCGCUACUUCAGAGCUUCAGAGGAGGACAUAUUGGUCGACAGGGCCAGCAGUCUCAGCCGCCUAGGGCAUGUUAUGGUUGUUGUGACAUAGGUCAUGUUGUCAGAUUUUUCCCUUGAUGCUCGAGUAGUUCUCAGAAGCAGGGUCCUCGCCCUACGAUUCAGGUAGUAGGUGAUCCUCAAGUCGCCCAACCAGCUAGAUGCUGAGGUAGGUAUCAUAGAGGUGGAGGGAGAGAUCGUAGAGAUGGAGCCCGCACAGCCAGAGGUAGGGGUCAGCCCGCAGUAGAUCGUCCCAGAGAUGCAGUUCAGGGAGGUGGGGGCCAGCCCCGUUGUUAUUCAUUGCCAGCCAAGCCGGAGGUCGAGUAAUCUAAUGAUGUGAUUAGAGGUACUAUACUGGUCUGUGAUAGGGGUGCUUCAGUAUUAUUAGAUCUGAGAUCUACUUAUUCUUAUGUGUCAUCCUAUUUGGAACCCUAUUUUAUCAUGCCUAGUAAGGCUCUGGGUAUUCCUGUAUAUGUGUCCACACUGGUAGUGAUUCUAUAGUGGUUGACCGAGUGCAUCGUUCUUGUGUUGUGAUAUUUGAGGGUCUUGAGACCCUUGUAGACUUAUUUCUUUUAGACAUGGUGGACUUCGAUGUUAUAUAAGGGAUGGAUUGGUUGUCCCCGUAUCAUGCUAUCUUGGAUUGUCACGCCAAGACCGUGACUUUGGCCUUGCCCAAUUUGCCCAUACUUGAGUGGAGAGGGACCCCAGGUCAUGCCACCCGUAGUGUUAUUUCGUAUGUCAAGGCUCAACGUAUGGUUGAGAAGGGGUGUUAGCAUAUUUGGCAUAUGGUCGUGAAUCCAGUGCAGAGGUUCCAUCUAUCGAUUCUGUCCCUAUUGUUUGGGAGUUCCCCGAGGUUUUUCCUUCAGACCUGCCUGGUAUACUGCCCGACAGGGAUAUUGAUUUCUGUAUUGAUCUGGCUCCUGGCACUCAGCCUAUUUUUAUUCCGCCGUAUCGCAUGGCCCCGCCAGAGUUGAAAGAUUUGAAGGAGCAGCUUCAAGACUUGCUUGAUAAGGCUUUCAUUAGACCCAGUGUAUCACCUUGGGGUGCACCAGUGUUGUUUGUGAAGAAAAUGGACGGGUCGAUGAGGAUGUGCAUUGAUUACUGACAGUUGAACAAGGUGACGAUAAAGAACAAGUAUCCACUGCCGAGGAUUGACGAUUUGUUUGACCAGCUCUAGGGUGUCAAGGUGUUCUCGAAGAUAGAUUUGAGGUCUGGUUAUCAUCAGCUAUGGAUUAGGGCGUCUGAUGUCCCUAAGACAUUAUUUCGUACUAGGUAUGGGCAUUAUGAGUUUUUGGUCAUGUCGUUUGGGUUGACCAAUGCCCCGGAAGCAUUCAUGGAGUUGAUGAACCGAGUGUUCAGGCCUUNNNNNNNNNNNNNNNNNNNNNNNNNNNNNNNNNNNNNNNNNNNNNNNNNNNNNNNNNNNNNNNNNNNNNNNNNNNNNNNNNNCCGAGUGUUCAGGCCUUACUUGGAUUUAUUUGUGAUUGUAUUCAUUGAUGAUAUCUUGGUAUACUCCCGCAGUCAGGAGGAGCAUGAGCUGCACCUCAGAAUGUUUCCUCAGACUGUGAAGGAUAGCCAGUUGUACGCCAAGUUCUUAAAGUGCGAAUUUUGUUUGAGUUCAGUCGCAUUCCUGGGUCAUGUCGUAUCAGCAUAGUGUAUUCAGGUAGACCUGGAGAAGAUAGAGGCAGUCAAGAACCAGCCUCGACCACCUUCAGCUACAUAGAUUUAGAGCUUCUUGGGAUUAGCUGGUUAUUACAGACGUUUUGUGGAGGGGUUUUCAUCCAUCCCAGCCCCGAUGACUAGAUUGACCCAGAAAGGUGCCUAGUUCACGUGGUAUGAUGAGUGCGAGGCGAGCUUCCAUAAGCUUAAGACAGCUCUGACUACAACACCGGUAUUGGUCUUGCCCACCGGAUCUGGGCCUUAUACUGUAUAUUGUGAUGCUUCCCGCAUCGGACUUGGCGCAGUGUUGAUGGCUCAAGACAUCUCUGACUACGGCACCCGUAUUAGUUUUGCCUACGGUAUCCGGGCCUUAUGCUGUAUAUUGUGAUACUUCCCGCAUUGGACUUGGCGCAGUGUUGAUGCAGAAUGGCAAGGUCAUAGCAUAUGGUUCGAGGCAGUUGAAGAUCCACGAGAAGAAUUAUCCAGUUCAUGACCUAAAGUUGGCAGCCAUUGUUCAUGCAUGAAGAUCUGGAGGCAUUAUUUGUAUGGUGCUACGUGUGACGUGUACAAGAAUCACAAGAGCCUUCAGUACUUGUUCAAGCAGAAAGAGUUAAAUUUGAGACAACGGAGGUGGUUGGAGUUGUUAAAAGGUUAUUAUGUAUAUAUUUUAUACCACCCAGGGAAGGCCAAUGUGGUGGCCGAUGCAUUGAGUAGAAAGUCCGCCAGCAUGGGUAGUCUUGCAUAUAUUUCGGUCAGCCAGAGACCGCUUGCCUUGGAUGUUCAGGCCUUGGCCUAUAGAUUUGUGAGAUUAGAUAUUUCUGAGCCUAGCCGGGUAUUAGAUUGCAUGGUUUCUCGCUCGUCAUUGAUGGAUCGUAUCCGGGAGCGACAGUUUGAUGAUCCCCAUUUGUAUGUCCUGAGAGACACGGUGCAGAGGGGAGGUGCCAAGGAGAUGACUCUGGGAGAUGAUGUAAUAUUGAGGUUGCAGGGGAGAGUCGGUGUGCCUACCAUUGAUGGUAUUCGAGAAUCAAUCUGGCGCCGUGAAGUUGUAUCAGGAUUUGAGACAGAAUUAUUGGUGGCAUAAAAUGAAGAGAGACAUUGUUGCAUAUGUGGCUCGUUGUCUAAAUUGUCAGCAGGUUAUCAGAGGCCCGGUGGGUUAUUUCAGAGGAUUGAGCUUCCCCAAUGGAAGUGGGAGAGAAUCACCAUGGAUUUUGUUACUGGUCUUCCGAUGACUCGGAAGAAGUUUGAUGUUAUAUGGGUUAUUGUUGAUAGGCUGACUAAGUUAGCGCAUUUCAUCCCAAUUGCCACCACUUAUUCAUCCAAGAGGUAUACAGAGAUUUAUAUCAGGGAGAUCGUUCGCUCUACAUUGGUUAUUGUUGAUAAGCUGACUAAGUCAGCCAUUUCAUCCCAGCUGCCACCGCCUAUUCAUCCGAGAGGUAUGCUGAGUUUGUAUCAGGGAGAUCGUUCGCCUUCAUGCGGUGCCCAUAUCUAUUAUUUCGGAUUGGGGUCCGCAGUUUACCUCGCAUUUCUGGAGAGAGGUAUAGCAUUAGUUGGGAACCAGGUCCAUUUGAGUAUAGCAUUUCACCCUAGAUGGACGGUCAGUUCGAGAGGACUAUUCCGAUCUUGAGGAUAUACUCCGAGCCUGCGUUAUUGAUUUUGGAGGCUCAUGGGACCAGUUCUUGCCUUUAGUCGAGUUUGCCUACAACAACAGCUACCAGUCCAGUAUUCAGAUGGCCCCGCAUGAGACUUUGUAUGGUAGACACUGUCGCUCCCCAGUCGGAUGGAUUGCGCCGGGAGAGGAUCGGUUAUUGGGUACAGAUUUGGUGCAGGAGGCCUUGGAUAAGGUCAAGUUCAUUCAGGACAUACUUUGGUUAGCUCAGUCUAGGUAGAAGAGUUUUGCAGAUCAUAAGGUCAGGGAUGUUUCUUUCUUUGUUGGUGAGCGGGUAUUGCUCCGUGUAUCACCUAUGAAGGGCGUGAUGAGGUUCAGGAAGAAGGGCAAGCUUAGCCCUAGGCAUAUUGGCCCAUUUGAGACUCUUGACCAUGUUGGGAAUGUGGCUUAUAGACUUGCAUUGCCUUCUAGUUUGUCAGGUGUGCACCUGGGUUUUCAUGUAUCCAUGCUUCAGAAGUAUCAUGGUGAUCGCACCCACAUGCUAGAUUUUAGUAAUGUCCAAUUGGACAAGGAUUUGUUGUCACACCUCUUUUUUUUACACACCUUACCCUGAAGGAUAAUGCAUAAGGGAGUUUUUCCAUUUAAAGUGACAUUAUUCGCAUCGAGAUUAUUUUUUUGUUCAUCGUCGCCACUUGGGAAAGGUUGGCUUUUGGUGUACCAAGUCACUGGUUUUUUCUUGAAUCCCAAAGCGAGGAAAAUUUCAACUUCCUAUUGGAGUCUGCGAACCAAAAAUUCUGAAUAAGGAAUUUUAUUAACCCGAGGGAAGAUGUUAGGCACCCUCAGAUCUCGUGGUUCUAGCACGGUCGCUUAAAUCAUUGUAUUCUAUUAAAACCUUAUUUUAAAGCAUGCUAACUUAUACGCCUUUUAUUUAUAAACCGCUUUUAUCUCUAUUUAUUUUUAAUAGACUUGCGACGUCGUGAAAACGCGUCUCUGACCAUAUCUCUAUCAAGGCACACGUAGUCAUUGACACAUUUUGAUUUCGUCGAGAUUUGAAUUUGGGUCGCAAUCAAUGCACACCCGAGUUUAAGAAGGUAUUUUAGUUAAACGCGCCUAAAGAGUCUAGCGUAUUGUUAUUUUUGGGAAGGCCGUGAAAUUCACUAAACGGCCCUCCCAAAUUCUAAUUGUUUUAUAUACCCAUUAUUGAGGGCCCCGCCUUUUGUAUUUUUAUUUGGCGAGGCGCAUUUCAUCUUUAUUUUAAAAGGGCCAGCCUAAAAGCAACUAGAAUUAUCUACUUAAUUUGUCUCUAAAAUAAAGGAAAAAGCCUUAAUUAAUUAUGAACUUCAAAUCUAAUUAAACCGUGACCAUUCAAGUCUUGGGCUUAUAGGGCCCAAAUUAUUUAGAACAUGUGCAGACCCCAACUCUCAAUGCCACCACUGCUGGGAAUAGAAAUAGCCCAGAUCGGAUACUGGGUCCAUUCAAGGGGAUCCAAGGAUCGAGUCCCUAAGGCUGCAGGCCAAUGAUUGUUUGUACAUCAGUUGUUUUUCAACUCCCUUGAGAUUUUACAACAUAGCAAUGUAAUACACCAACUUAACUUGUCCAAGUUAACUACUCUCCCUCAUACAGAUAUGCAUAGUAAUGACUCAAUGAAUGCUAAUUUCGGUUUCCAGUUCCAUUUUUUAUCUAGCCAAAUUGAUUUUGUCCUUAUGAGAGCUUGUGUUUUAUCAUUUGAGAAUGGACAUGAUGAGAUUCAAUUUUGACUCUAACUUUCAAAUUGAAGUUGUGAUACACACAUCGGUUCCCUAAUCAAUGAGAAAAUUCAUAAGACUAACUAUUUUCAAAAACUAUAUUUGGAUGAAAAAAACUUACAAAUUCUUGAAGACAUCUAACAAGAAGUUGACUAUAACUAAUGAAUUACCUUAUUAGCCUAAUAGGAAAUUAAUUAUAACUAUUACUUAACACAUAUAUGAAUCAACUAAUGAUGAACUAGCUACAAAUGAAACUUCAAACGAACUAAUUGAAUCCAAGAGAUAGCAGUUCGCAGUCCUAUUUGUACGACCUAAGAUCAAUCCCAUACACAAAGGACAUGAAAUGUCGAACAAGAAAACUGUUUACACAUUAAAAUCAUACAAAGAACAGGGGAGUUCAGAGAUAAACUUCAAAUAACCCUUUUACUUUGUUCCCAUGACUUGAGAGGUUUAGAGCAUGUGCCUAGAAACGCAAAUAACAAGGGAGAAAACAGAGGUCAGUUAGGAAGCAACAGUAUACAGCAGCAAGCGUGCAGUUUCCAGCAAUAAGAGUAGGAGAAAACACAAUUAGUGUAAAAAUCGACCAAAUACACUUGAACAAAUCCAACCAUUUAGCAAUUGCUCCCAGAAAUCCAAUAUAGAUAGCAACUAAACCACCAAUUAAUUCAAUCCAAUCCGAUCUGAAUCAAAUUGAUUCUAAACACAGUCAGAUUUUAGAUGCAGAACAGAACUAGAGAUUUUCCAAUUGUUUCUGAACCUAAAAGAGCUAAGGAGUUGAAUUCCUAGCUCAAAAUUUGAAAGUGAUCUAAGAAGACGCAAUGAAACAGAAAUUUUUUGUUGUUUUCUGAUUUUUUUGUAUAGUUUUUUUGUAUUUUCUGUCUAUCUAAAUGCUGAAGCUAAUUUAAAAGCCAAAAUGAAAGAACAAUCAGGUUUUUAUGGUUUUUUUGAGAUGAAAAUUCCAAGACCUCUUUAACAAGGCAUUGGAUGCCUUUAUAUAGCCGAGAAUGAGGGUAAAGGGUCAGAUUUUGAUUUUCUUAUUUAGUCCCUGGUUAUUUUCACUUUAACCCCUAAUUUUCUAACUUGUUCCUCAAGUUACUGCCUUAGUUCUAUUGAAAUGUGCACUAAAGCUCUAUUCUAGGAGCUUCUAGGAUGCCUUUUUAGCCCCAAAAUUCCUAGUCAACCAUUUUCUUGUUUUUAAAAUUACCAAAUCUCAAAAUACUACCCUUUUUCAUCCCCAAAGUACCCUUUAAUAGUCUGAAAAUUACAGACCUUAAUUAACUUAACCCAAACCCUUUUAACCCCUGUUAAAAAUUAACUAAGGUUAUCUACUAAAGAAUUAAAAAACUAUAUCCAAACUUGAAUCUAAUUAGACUAACAAAGAUUAACAUUAGCAAUCAGAGAAAUUGUUGACUGGCAUUUAAAGUGACCUUAAGAACUGAAGUUAUCUAAAAUGAACUUAGCGACUGAAAUUAAUCAACCUAAACGUAUUAGAACUAAAUUAAUUAAAACUUUAAUCAAAAGAAGAGAAAAAGAGAAAUCAGAACACAAAACCUAAAUAAAAUUAUGCACAUGCUAAUCUUGACAAAAAAAUUGACUAUCGUUUGAGACAAACUAAAAUUGAACAAACGAAUCAGAGAAAAACUAAUCACACAAUAAAAUUUAGAAAUAGAAACUACAAUGAUUCAACUAAAGGAAGUAGAGCCACAAGACAGGAUUAACAUGCGAACUUGAGAAUUAAGCCGCAUCAUUAGAAGUAAUUAACUAAACAAGCGAGAGAAGAAAGAACACAAAGAAACUAAACAAAAAUUAAAGAAAAACUCAAUCAACCUAUGUCCGGCUUAUUGACUAGAAGAAAGAACAAAAAAAGAAAAGAAACUAAACCUAAAAAUUAAUAGAAAACUUACUGGGAAACCAUGCAACCUGGGAAAAUUCCUCUACUAUGUCGAUUCAGCGUGAACCCUAGAUUGGAAGUUCGUCUAGCUUCUAUUGAUUUUGGAGGUUUUUGGCUUGGGAUUCGUAAUGAGGAAGUCCAAGAGAUUGUGGGGUAUAAAAUUUGAGCCAGUUUGGAUGGGUUUGUAUUUUGAACGAGAAUUUCAAAUUGAGAUUCGACCAGUUGGGUUAUGUUUCGAAGAAAACUAUUGCUAAGAUUAGAAAGAGGAGGUUGAGGAGAGUGGGUGGUGUUAUUUUGGUUGAGUUUGGUGGUGGCGUCGUCGGGUUUUGGGGAGAGGUGUGAUGGCGGGGGGUUAGGGUUUGGGAGGUCUCAAAAGAGGGGUGUUUGAGAGAGAUGAGUUGAGAGGGGGGGUGUCUUGGUUCGGACAAUUAUAUAGUAUGGAGUGAGGGCUUCUGGGCCGUUGAUCUGAGAUACCUAGACGGUUAAGAUCUAUCCACGACGAAACGGUGUCAUUUUUAGGUUCUUUGAUUUGGUCCAAACGAAAUUAAACUGUGGCCCAAUCUUGGUCUCUAGACAACCCCUUUCUUUCUUUGUUUUUUAAUUUACUUCUUUUUUUAAAUUGUAAAAGAAAUGCAAGGAAUUAAAAAUAAACCCAAUUUGAUUCUAAAAUUAAGCUAGCUAAUUUGUAAAAUUAUUUUAAAAAUGAUUUUGAGGCCAAUUAGAUGAUUAAUAACUAAAAAUGCAAGAAAAGGCUAGUUUUGUUAUUUUCUUAUUUUAAUGAUACUAAUUCAACUAAUAAGCUAAAAUUAAACUCCUAAAAUAUCAAGUACUAUUUUUGUAUUUUUCAAUAAUUAUGGCAAUCUAACAAAAAAUGCAAUUAAAAGACGAAAUUGAACAAUUAAUUCAAAAUAUCAAGAUACUAUUUUUUUUUGUAUUUUUCAAUAGUUAUGGCAAUCAAACACAAUGCAAAUAAAACAUGAAAUUGAACAAUUAAUCCCUAAAGAAUAAAAACUCCAAAUUAAAUGAGUUUAUAGGAGUAAUUAAAGCACGGCAAAAAUCACGUGCUCACAGCUGCCCAUCUUUGCUCGAAGACAUGAAGGGUUUUCGGGCAAAGAUAAAUGAGCAACCAUGAGAUUUUUGCCUAUUUAGUACUCCAUAGGAAGCAUUUUGAAAACCGUCUGACCGAACCUCGCUUCAAAGGUUGCCUACAUAUCCUUGGCUGUAAAGGAAUCAGGUUAGUGUAGUUAUGGAGUGUUUGGUAGCAGGGAAUACCAAAAGCUGUGAUUUUACUGCAGUUGCUGCUGCUACUGGUUGCUGACCUCCUUAUUACACCAAAGGAAAAUCAAAGCUAAGCUAACUAAGCCUAUCAACUAUGAGUUACAAGAUUCCUAUCUAUAAUUCUCUUGGAACUUGAUCUUGAGUCUUAGUUGAUUUUGCUGUAGACUUCAACCUGAAUCUUGAUGCUCACUGGUUAUGAGAGCCUAUUUCUUCACGCAACAUUGGGCCGAGGUAGCUUGUGACUCAGAUUCUGAGUAAUCCGCAUUCCUGCUUUCCUCACAUUCGAGUUCAUUUUUUUUUAUUUUCUUUAUUUGAAUUGGGACUCAUUUCAUCAGUCAUCUCGCGCUUUGUGUCCUGUGGUGAAACCAGUUUUAAAAUAUCAAAACAAACAAAAGAACAAAAUUUUCUGCCCCAGUUUUACUAGGUAAAUUUAGUGAGUCAAUUGUGACACAUACGACAAUCAAACUAGAAGAGGCUCUUCGAUUUUGUCCAAGAGAUUCUCGGUUUUAAAAACAGAUUUUGAAAAGUAAACGCUCUGCGGUUUUCUGGCCGGUAUAUUUGCAAAUGAAAAAGCUCUAAGGUUUUCUGGCUGGGAUGUUUUGCAAAUGAAAAUGCUCCACGGUGUUUUGGCCAGGAUAUUUUGCAAAUGAAAAAGCUCCACGAUUUUCUGGUCGGGAGAUCCUCGAUUUUCUGGCCGGGAUAUUUUGCCAAUAAAAAAGCUCCACGGUUUUCUGGCCGGGAAAUCCUCGAUUUUCUGGCUGGAUAUGCUGCAAAUUAAAAAGCUCCACAUUUUUCUCGACGGGAGAUCCUCGGUUUUCUGGCUGGGAUAUUUUGCAAAUGAAAAAGCUCCACGGUUUUCUGGCGGGGAGAUCCUCGAUUUUCUGGCCAGAAUAUUUUGCAAAUGAAAAAGCUCCACGGUUUUCUGGCCGGGAGAUCUUCGAUUUUUCUGGCUGGGAUAUUUUGCUAAUGAAAAAGCUCCAUGGUUUUUUGGCCGGGAGAUCCUCGGUUUUUGGCCGGGAUAUUUUGCAAAUGAAAAAGCUCCACGAUUUUCUCACCGGGAGAUCCUCGGUUUUCUGGGCGGGAUAUUCUGCAAAUGAAAACGCUCCACGGUUUUCUGGACGGGAGAUCCUCGAUUUUCUGGCCAGGAUUUUUGCAAAUGAAAAAGCUCCACGGUUUUCUCGCCGGGAGAUCCUUGGUUUUCUGGCCGGGAUUUUUGCAAAUGAAAAAGUUGAGCUACCAUGAUUUGAUUCUCUUUUGUGGGAUUUUCACUUCCCAUUUCUUUCCUUCUUCCUUUUGGGUUUCUUUUUAGAGGUUAUUUCUUUUAUUUAUCAGAAUGCAUGAAAGACUGUUUGAGAAAACUUCCUUUUUGUUGUUUCUCCUGCUACAACGCAAUGUCGACGCUUGUGCAUUUCAUUUCUUUUGGGCUGCACCUGCUUCUUUUACAACUGUUUUGAAUAAGGCCUGUUGUCAACAAAGAACGGUUUGUUAGUUGAAACAGUGGUUGGUUUUGUGGCCUUGAUCAUCUUCAUCGCCUGAUCCCCGCCCCAUUUCUAUUGAGAACUUUGCUGCUUGUUAGCCUUGAGGGUGAAUCUUUUUCACACUUACCAGGUUCAUUCGUUGGAUUUCAUGAUGAUUCGCCCAUGUGGGCUAUGGUUUUCCACCUCAUUUUGCUUUCCAGACAUUUGCUUUUGGCUUUGUUUCUUUUCUAUUGUCUUUCACUUUGGAGGCAAUCAAUCACCAUGGUCAGUCGGGGUUGGACUGGCGCACCACUAAGGCUGAGAAUUUUCUUUGACCCUUGCCGGGCGGAGCCCUAUGAAACCGGUCCUGCCACCUUUUCUUUGUAAUUACUACGGAAUCAGAGUUAAAUUGAAAGGGAUUCAAAGAAAAGUAUGCAAAAAGGAAAGUAAAUGAGUUUAAAGAGAAGCGUCCCUUUCGGGGUAAAAGAAGGACUUAUCUGGGGUGCAUGUUGGCUCAAAAGAACAUGACAUGCUCCUUGGACUGGACACCUAAACCGCAUUAGCUUCCGACUUCUCAUGAACCCAUUGACCCAUAUUUCCAAACUUGGAAACCUUGCCAGGAAUUUAAGUGAUAAAGUAUCCUAUUUUUGACCGACAAUGCCCUUUGCGGGUUUUCACCCAUUCCACCUCUCUCAUUUCUCUUCUCACUGUCGCCUGAUAGUGCUCUUUGCUAGUUUUCACUAAGCAGACUUUCUCAUUUUUUGUUUUCUCUACUCAUCGUUGCCUUAUGGUGCCUGAAGGUUUUUGCCGAUAAGACUCUCUCAUUUUAUUUCUCUUAAUUUGAAUUGUAUCAAAUUCUAACCAUGACGUUUCCCACUUUCCUGUCUUUUCCAAUUGAUCAGAAGUACUUGGACAAGGUCUUUAGGAUAAAAGGAUUUUGGGGCGGAACUACAACUUUGGAACCAUUUCGGCGGUCUCAUGGCCGAACCAUUAUAUCAUCUGCCCCAGUUUCACUUUUGGGAAAAUUGGGAUUUUUAUUUUGGUGUGACUGAACCUCAAGGAGAGGCUGCCUACGUAUCCUUUCAGAAUCAAGUCAGACGUAGCUCAGAGAAAUAUUCUUGUUUUUGUUUUUGUUUCGUCUUUUCUUUUCUUAUCUUUUCUUUUUUUUUUUUGCUUUUUUUCACUUUCUUUUCUUUUUAGUUUCUUUUCCUUUUUUUUCUUUUCUUUCCCUUUUCCUUCUUUCUUUUAGUAGCACUUCCGGGUUCCAAAGAGGCUAAUCAAACAAAGGUAAUUGACUCAAACGGUUUACGAGGGAUUAAAAAGCCUUCUUCGUUUCAAUUGCACAAAGAUAUCCUCAAAGCAAGUUUAGACAUAGUACCUUUUAACUGAAUCAAAAUUCACCACUACUUCGGGAUCGUUCCCUUCUAUUUCAUCUAGGUAUAACGCUCCUCUUGGCAGUAUUUUCCUGAUGAUGUACGGACCUUUCAAGUUAGGGGAAAAUUUGCCUUUGGCUUCCUGAUGAUGAGGAAGAAUGCAUCUUAACACUAAUUGCCCCACUUCAAGAUUCCUAGGCUGUACUUUCUUAUUAUUGGCGCGGGCCAUUCUUUGUUGAUAUAACUGCCCAUGAAAAAUUGCAGCCAUCCAUUUAUCAUUGAUUAAAGUCAACUGUUCCAAUCGAGUUUUAACCCACUCACUAUUUUCAAUUUCUGCUUCAACUAUUGUCCGGAGCGAAGAAAUUUCCACUUCUUUCGGGAUCACAGCCUCAGUUCCAUAAACUAACAAAUAUGGAGUUUCUUCCACCGAUGUGCGCGCCAUAGUGCGAUAUCCCAACAAGGCAAAAGGUAAUUCUUCAUGCCACUGCCUAGAGCUUUGGAUUGUCUUUCUCAAAAUCUUUUGAUGUUUUUGUUCCCUGCUUCAACAGUUCCAUUGGCUUUGGGCCUAUAAGGAGUGGAAUUUCUGUGCAUUAUUUUGAACUGCUCGCACACUUCUUCCAUCAAAUGACUGUUCAAAUUUGCAGCAUUGUCCAUGAUAAUGGUUGCUGGCAUAUCGAAACGGCAUAUAAUACUCGAGUGCACAAUAUCCACUACAACCUUUUUAGUGUCUGAUUUGGGAGUGAUAGCCUCAACCCACUUUGUAAAAUAAUUAAUAGCUACCAAUAUGAACCUGUGCCCAUUUGAGGCUUUUGGCUUGAUCAGUCCAAUGACAUCCAUACCCCAUGCGACAAAAGGCCAAGGUGCUGACAUGGGACAUAGUUCUGUUGGACGUGCAUGAAUCGGAUCUCCAUGCACCUGACAUUGAUGGCAUUUCUGGACAAAACUGAAGCUAUCUUUCUCCAUGGUUAUCCAAUAAUACCCAGCUCGGAGUAUCUUCUUUGCCAACACAUACCCUUUCAUGUGAGGUCCGCACACCCCGGCAUGCACUACAUGAAUCAGACCUCCAUGCACCUGACAUUGACGGCAUAUCCAGACAAAAUUGAAGAAAUAUUUCUCCAUGUUUAUCCAAUAAUAUCCCGCUCGGAGUAUCUUCUUAGACAACACAUACCCGUUCAUAUGAGGUCCGCACACCCCUGCAUGCACUUCAUGCAUGAUUCUUCCAGCUUACUCAGUUUCAACGCAUCUUAAUAAAUUGAGAUCUGGAGUCCUUUUGUACAUGAUUUCACCAUUAGAAAGAAACCACUCUCUUGUCGCCUAAUGGUUCUCUUUUGAUCCCCUGUGGCAUGUUCGGGAUAUUCUUGUGUUUUCAAGAAUCUUUUAAUAUCAUGAUACCAUGGCCGAACGCUUGCCCCUGCUUCAAUUGCAUUACAAUAAACAUGUCUCUCCCUGACUUUGAUUUCCAAGGGAUCAAUGUAGGCAUUUCCCGGAUAAGGCAGCAUCGGGGCUAGAGUAGCAAGUGCAUCAGUUAAUUCAUUAUGACACCGUGGGAUGUAUCUGAGUUCUAUCGAUUUGAAAUGCUUGCAGAGAUCUUCUACAUGUUGUCGGUAAGGAAUGAGCUUGACAUCUCGGGUUUCCCAUUCUCCCUGAGCUUGCCGAAUACUCAAAUCAGAAUCCCCCAUGAUUAGUUAUUCUUCCACAUCUUGAUCAAUCGCCAUAUUCAUGCCCAUGAUCAGCAGUAUUGUUUGAAUAUAAAACCAAAGCCUUGCGGUAGCUGGGUAAUGCUGGCCAGUUGGCGAAAUUAUUGCCCCAGUUCCUACACCCUGGGCGUUCACCACUCCAUCAAAGAACAUUUUUCAGGCAUGAGUAUCUUCGAUAAUCCCUUCUAUUGUGUUUACCUCUUCAUCCGGGAAGUAAGUGCUCAACAGCUGGUAUUCUUCAUCAACCGGAUUUUCAGCCAAAUGAUCUGCUAGUGCCUGGGCUUUCAUUGCCGUGUGAGUGACGCAAACUAUAUCAAAUUCAGUAAGAAAGAUGUGCCACUUCGCCAAUCUCCCAGUAGGCAUGGGUUUCUGAAAUAUGUACUUCAAAGGAUCCAACCUGGUUAUGAGGUAAGUAGCGUGAGCUUGAAGAUAGUGUCUCAGCUUUUGAGCUACCCAUGUCAAAUCGCAGCACGUUCUUUCUAACAAAGUGUACUUGACCUUCUAACCGGUGAAUUUAUUACUCAGAUAAUAGAUCGCUUGCUCUUUCUUUCUAGUCACAUCAUGUUGCCCAAGAAUACAACCAACUGAGUUUUCCAAAAUCGUCAGAUACAGAAGAGGGGUCUAUCUGGCUUUGGUGGGACCAGAACGGGAUAGUUUGAUAGAUAUUCUUUGAUUUUGUCAAAAGCCUCUUGACACUCAGCUGUCCUUUUGACUGCCGCAUCUUUCUUUAACAAUUUGAAUAUUGGCUCACAUGUGGUUGUCUGUUGAGCGAUAAACCGACUGAUAUAGUUCAACCUUCCCAAAAGACUCAUCACAUCUUUCUUUGUUUUUGGAGGAGGUAUAUCUCGGAUGGACUUUAUUUUUGUAGGGUCUAACACGAUACCUCUCGUGCUGACAACAAAACCAAUAAGUUUGUCGGAUGGGACCCAGAAUGCACAUUUAGCCGGAUUCAGCUUCAGAUCAUAUUUCCGCAGCCUUUCAUUAAACUUCCUCAAAUCUCGAACAUGAUCAGCUGGAGUUUUAGACUUAAUAAUCACGUCAUCCACAUACACCUGUAUCUUUUGAUGCAUGAUAUCAUGAAAAAUAGUGGUCAUGGCUCUCAUAUAAGUUUCCCCAGCGUUUUUCAAACCAAAUGGCAUAACUCGGUAACAGUAGGUACCCCAGGGUGUAGUGAAAGCUGUUUUCUCGGCAUCUUCUUCAUCCAACACUUGGUGAUAUCCUGCGUAACAAUCCACGAAUGACUGUAUCUCGUGUUUGGUGCAAUUGUCAACAAGGAUGUGGAUGUUGGGCAAAGGGAAGUUAUCCUUGGGACUCGCUCGGUUCAAAUCUCGAUAAUCAACACAAACCCAAAUAUUCCCAUCUUUCUUGGGUACAGGAACUACAUUGGCCAACCACGUAGUAUACCGAACCACCCAGAUUACCCCUACCUUCAACUGCUUUGUGAUUUCUUCUUUGAUCUUGCCACUGAUGUCAGUUUUAAAUUUCCUCUGUUUCUGUUGAACAGGAGGGCAUUCAGGGUGUAUUGGCAGUUUAUGUACCACUAGAUCAACACUCAAUUCUAGCAUGUAAUCGUAUGACCAAGCAAACACAUCUUUGAACUCGAACAUAAGUUGAAUUAUUUCAUCUCGCGUUUUCUGGUCAGUGUGAAUGCUUAUUUUUGUUUCCUGAAUUUCUUCUGAGGUUCCCAAAUUAACGGUUCUGUAUCAUUCAAGUUCGUCUUAGGUUUAUUCUUAAAUUGUUCCAAUUCUCGAUUUAUUUCCCUAAAAGCCUCUUCUUCAUCAUAUUCCGGUUCUUGGUUCAUUAUUUCACAAUUAGACAAUGUGUUUGGAUUCGAGCAUGAUGUCCGCAGGCUUGUCAUGUUAUUUAAAGCCGUAUUAUUAUGACUGAAAAGAAAAGAAAAAAAGAGAAAAUAAUAGGAAUCAGAAAGAAUACAAGAAUAACGAUGAAAUAUUGAUCUUAUUUCUUGGAAUUUGAGAAGAUAGCAGGGCUAUAUUGGGAAAUUAAAGACAAAAUAAAGAAAACAUCCGAGUUACACCUUGAAAUGACUCGUGAUGAAUAAAGGUGGCAGGACAAAUCUACUAGGACUCCAGCCUUACUGGAAACGGCGUAGCCUUCCAAUUAUGCAAUUUAGCAUAUGGGACUAUAUACAACACUUCAGCGGUACUAGUAGCCUCUCCCAACUGAACCAUAUUGGUGUGAUAAAGAAUUCGCCUCACAACCCCACUUAUAUCUUCGAUCUCUUCAGCUGUGAAGGUUUCAUCAUCCUCUUCUUCAUUAUAUCUUGUCUUGACAAAAGUAUGAUAUAGAUGCGGCAAUGGAUACGGCAAGACCGAUCAUUCCCUUUUCCUCUCAUCUGCCCAAUUUUCAUCUUCUGUUGUAGGGCAGAAACCUACUCCAAAGAACUUGUCGGUUGUUGGCAGAGUUAUUGAUUACGGUAUUCCUUGAAAAGACUUUCCCAACCUCUUCCCUACCUGGAAGCCGGGCUUGAUCAUUUCAAUUGCCACCAUAAUCGAGGCGUUAGACAAGAAGGGUUGAGGGCAAGGGCUCCCCUCCUCAUAUUGAUCUGCCAAUACAAUCUCAAAGGCUUGAUAUACAAUGUGCUCACUUCCUUCUCUAGCCUCUAGACAUGGGACAGAUGGGUCCCGAUAGAUAGACUGUUCAUCCUCUCCAAUGAACCACAAUUUCUUGAUCUUCGUAUUCAAACUUCACCAUCUGGUGGAGAGUAGAGGCUACUGCCCCCACGGCGUGGAUCGAAGGCCUUCCGAGGAGAAAGUUGUAAGAGGUGUCCAUAUCCAGGACUUGGAAUGUAACUUCAAAUUCCACGGGGCCUAUUACCAAUAUCAAGUCGAUUUCUCCAAUUGUCUCUCUCUUGAUCCCAUCGAAAGCUCUGACACAGACAUAGUUAGGGCGAAUCCUUCAUGUGCAAAUUUCCAUCCUCUCGAGCGUAGAAAGCCGGCAAAUGUCCACACCCGAGCCCCCAUCCACCAUUACUCUCUUAGAUAAAUACAUUCACACUUGACAGUCAGGUGUAAAGCUUUGUUGUGAGCCGCCCCUUCUAGAGGCAAAUCGUUCUUACUAAAGGAGAUUUGAUUAAGAGCAAAGAAACUUUCGGACAUUCUUUCAAGCUGUUCUACUGAUGUCCCAGCGGGCACGUACGCCUCAUUCAAAAUUAUCACUGAGAUAUCCCGAUGCUCAGCAGAUUUCAUUAGCAAUGACAACAUGGACACUUGUUCGGAACACCUACGCAAUUGAUCUACCACUUAGUAAUCAGACAUUUUCAUCUUCUGGAAAAAGGCUUCCGCUUCUUUAGCACUGACGGACUUCUUGAGCGGAAAAUGCUUUCGUGUGGCACUGUUUACCUCUUGGAUGUCUGAAUAUUUCUUCGCGGAGGUGUCCCCUAUUAAUUCCCCAGUAAUUUCCUUGCCUUUGUGUGUGACCACAGUUGGUUGAUAAUUCCAUGGUACAACAGACGGAUCUGUCAUUGGCUUUUGUGGUCCGCGUCCGAUAACCACCGGCUCGUUCGGUCAAGAUGGUUUGAUCGUCUCCCGAACAACAUAGGCUCUUUGGGUACAUACAUUGGCAUCCCCUUUUUCAUUUCAAACUCCUUUGGCUUGCUUAUGGCUAAUGGCUUUUCUGGGCGUCCUCGUGGGAGAUAAAUGACUCCAAUUUUUUGAGGCACUGUUUUCUCUGCCUUAGUUUCCAUCUUCUUUCAAUCCUAGCCUUGAUAGUUUCAUUCUUCUCUCCCCUUUUUUCUUGUUUUGGGGUUGCUUCUCGCUUUCUUUCUAUAUCAGCAAUGGCGAUUAUGGCUUUUAAAGCAGGAUCGAAUUCCUUGUCUUCACAAAUCAUUUUGAUUGUCGGCCCGUUGUUAUGAGCAGGUAUGGAUUAUUGGUCACAUUCAGAGUUUCCUCAUCCGUGAGCACUAUUCUUCCCUGGCUAAUCAAUUCUUGCACAACUUUCUUCAAAGUUCAGCGAUUAUCGGUGCUAUGCCCUCAACUCCAGAAUGAUAAGCACAAUACACGCCUCGUUGGUAAGCUGGAGAAUCCAGAUUCUGCCUAUUUUGGGGAAUGGGCUGCAAUAGAUUCAUCUGUAUCAGUUUAGGGAAAAGGGUGGAAUAUGGUUUCCCAAUUGGUGUGAAGUUUGACUUAGGUGGUUCACGAGGGCGAGGGUUAUUCUGUGGUGGUCGGGGGUUAUAGUGGUUUUGGUAAGGAUGUUGAUUUCUCUGGAAUGGAGGUGGGUUUCGGUUGACUGGUGGUUGUGGUCGGUUAAAAGGCUGAGCAUUCAUGACUGUAUAAGGUGGGGUGGAGGAGCAUAGGCCAUAUCAUUGUGCGGGUAGUAAUGUUGAGGAGUCCUUUCCGAGAAAACCGAUCUAGGAGCUCUGUACCUUCUGCCUUCAGACAUUGCUAUAACUCUUUCUUCUUUCUUUUUGCGUUUGGCCAUUCCUCCUGACCCGCCUUAGAUGGCUUGUGGAGGAUCAUUGGCCAUAUCAUUGUAUGGAUAGUAAUGUUGAGGAGUCCUUUCCGAGAAUACCGAUAUAGGAGCCCUGUACCUUCUGCCUUCAGACAUUGCCAUAACUAUUUCUUCUUUCUUUUUGCCUUUAGCCAUUCGUCCAGACCCGCCUUGGAUGGCUUGGGAGGUUGCCCUUAUGGCUCCCUGAUUUAAUAUCCUUCCUGUUUUCAAGUCGCUUUCAACCAUUUCGCCGAUUUUGAUAGCCUCUGCAAAAGGUUUGCCCAUGGCUGACGUCAUAUUUUGGAAAUAAUCAGGUUCCUAAGCUUGGAGAAAAACAGUGACAAUCUCCAUUUCAUCCAUGGAAGAUUUUACCCUCGAGGCUUGCUCGCGCCACUUAAUGGCAUACUCCCUGAAGUUUUCUGAGGACUUUUUCUUUAAAUUUGACAAAGAAUUCCGGUCCGGCGCGAUGUCAACAUUGUACUGAAACUGCUUUUCAAAGUCUCGGGCUAAAUCGUCCCAAAUGUGCCACCGAGACAGAUCUUGAUCCAUGUACCAUUUUGAAGAAACACCAAUCAAGCAUUCCCUAAAGCAAGCCAUCAACACCUCUUCUUUUCCGCCGGACCCUCGCAGUUGAUUGCAAUUCUUUUUAUGAUGAGCUAUGGGAUAUCCAUGCCCAUCGUAUUUCUCAAACAUUGGUGUUUUGAAUCCCAUAGGCAAGCGCACAUGUGGGAACAUGCACAGAUCAGUAUAAGCAACACUCUUUUGCCCGCUUAAACCCUGCAUAUUUCUUAGGUUCUUCUCCAGGCUCCUCAUCUUCCUUGCCAUUUCAUCGGGUUCAGGAGUGAUGGAAGUUUUAUAUUGCCCUGGUGUGAGCUCAUAAGGUGGUGGCUGAGGGUAAGUAUAUGUAGGGUACUGCAGCAAUUCUGGCUGAUAAGUCGGGAUGGGGUAAGUAUAUGUUGAUGGGUUGAACACGGGCUUUGGAAUUAUUAGCGGUGUCGUAAUAGUAGAUGCCAGAGCAGUGAAAAUAUGUGGGGUGAUUCCGCCCAUGAAUGCAUGUGGACUGAGAUCUGAAGUGCCUCCUACAUAGUGAGCAAAUAUUGUAGGUUGUCCUAAUGGGAUAUUUGGGUGGCUGAUUGGAACACUUGAAGCCCCAGCCGGCCUUGUGAGCAUCUCGGGGAAUUUGGGGAUAGUAUCCGGGGGUUGCUUCACGUUUGUCCAUGCGUCCCACAUCUCCAUCAUUCUUAGAUGCAAAAUUCUAUUUUCUUCAGCUACAGAAGAUUCUGAGGCCAGGACACCCGAGGACGGGCUGUCAUCUAGAAUAGGGAUCGUUAGCAGAGUCAUUUCUGAAGAAAUCUCUAUGCUACCUUUGGAUCUGGUGAAGUAAUGAUGCGAAGCCAGAUUACCACAAACCUGGGCUGUCAUCUGGAAUAGUGACCGUUGGCAGAGUCAUUUCUGAAGACAUCUCUAUGCUACCUUCAGAUAUGGUGAAGUAAGGAUGCAAAGCCAGCUUACCACAAACCAACCACCUGUUUCUUAUAAACCUGACUCUGGUGAAAAGGAAGUAUCCAACGGUUAGUAUUGGGAAAAACAUAGACAAAUAAUCACAUCAAUGGCUGUAUGCGUCAUCCCGAAUUUUCUAUUUCCUUGCUUGUUUCACUCUUUUAUUUAUUCAAAUUUCAUGUUUUCCUUUUUUUCUAUUUUGGUUUUCUCUUUUCUAUCUUAUUUCUCUACCGUUUCUCUUUUCUUUGUUACGGUCGAAUCCUAUAGGGAUUGCCUACGUAUCAUGACCCCGCACGAAUCAGACCAAGCGUAGUUCGUAAAAUUAAAUGCGAAAAUAAAAUGAAAACCAUUUUUGGGAAUUUUCAAUAUUUCAUUAAUAACACAAACUAUUACAUACUAACACUUUGCAAAAGGAAAGACGCCUACUAAGACCAACUACAAACUCCAAAACUACAGAAUCAAUUUGAUAAGAAAAACGAUGGACAAACAGACUCAAAAUAGGAAAAUACAGACACUAACUACAUAUUCUAAUGCUUCAAAUCUCGGUGUCCGCGAGGCUUCGUUUGGCCUCACCGCGGACCUAGGUGCCAAAUCCCUUUCCAGUUGCUCCAAAUCAUUCAUAGUUCUUUUCACAUAUAUCAUUACUGCCUGGACGAAAGUAGACAGGGUCAUGUCUUUGCAUGCCUGGCAUCUCUUAAAAUGGCAUGACCAAUGGCCCUUAUCCUGUUCCUCGUUUUACUGCCUAGAUGAAAGCAGAGAGGGUCAUGUCUUUGCAUUCCUGGCAUCUACUAAAAAUGGCGUGACCAAUGGCCCUUAUCCUGUUCCUCGUUUACCUUUUCUCCAUAAUCAAGCGCUUUAUCUGGUCACUGCAUGUUUUCACUGCUUGAAAAUCUUGGAGGUGUUGAUAUUGCAACUGCUGCACCUCUACUUCCAUUUGGGCUAGCAAGUCAUAACAAUGCCUGCUCUCAAUUUCAAAACUUCUAGCAUGUUUUACCACUUUAUUUUCAAGGGCCACCACUUUUUCUUGCAAGUUAGCCACAACUUUUGCGUGAUCCUUUUUCUGUUGCUGGAGGUAUUGACGCCGCACUUCGGAUCUUUUAUCCCAUUGUGCCUUGAGUUCUGCUAUGAUUUUCUCCGAUCUUUCAACCUCGUCUCGACACUCAUUAAUCUCAUUUUUCAAACCUUUUAUGAGUCUUUCAUCUGAUACACUCCUUCGUUGACUCUUGGUGGCUACCUUCAUUUGCUGUAUUUGAGCCUUAAGCAUCUCAUUCUCUUGAACCAGUCUAUUCUUUUCACUUUGGUCCGCAGCGACUUGCAUACUGUUUUCAAAUUUUAAACUUUCGACUUGCUGUUUCAGCUUCCCAAUCUCAGCCCGGUAGCCUUCCUCUUUUGCUAACCAAUCCCAUUGCUCUUGUGAUAUUUCGGCAAAAUCUUGGAAGUGGGGUCUUUUAGCCGACCUUUGGUGUUCUAGUUCUCUCUUGUACCACAUGAGGUAAUUUUGUGCCCUUUCACCCCUGACCCGAUCCAACACACAAGUAUCUGCUUGUAAACAUUGACCUUCAUUCCAUACCUGUCAGACUCUCUCUUCAAGAAAUUUUCCAUCUGGGCUAAUCUCAAUCACCUGAGCGCUCAAUUCCUCUUUCGGUGGGAUUAUUUUAUAUCUCCCGAGUUUUUUCAGAACCCGAUAGGGAGCAUAAGGCUGGAUGCUCUUCAACCCCAUCAGAAGGAAAUGUGACCCGACAGCUGAUAUGUAUAUGAUUUCUCCCACAUGAAACCAUCCCAAAGUCCAUUGUGUCUGACUGGCAUUGAGCGUCUGGAAGUACGAUACCCAUACCUCUAUACCUUCAGGCAAACUAAACCCAUCAGUUCUGGUGUAAAAUUCACCAAUACAAGUUUUGUCGGGAGAACCAUAACUCAAAAGCUGGGAACAGUGGCAUAUAUGCAUGAUCAUCCACAUUUGUAACAUCAAAUUACACCCCUCAAAUGACGUUCCCCCGGCUUUACAGGCAGUAAGAGCUCGGAAUAGGUCGGAUAUGAUCAUAGGUGCAAGAGUACUUCCACCUUUGCUAAGCAGAGCACUAACGAUCCCGACCACCUUUGUAUCAAUAUUACUAUCUUUCCUUGGGAACAUUAAGAUGCCCAAAAAGGUAAUAAUGAAGGCCACUCUUUUGUGAUCAUCCCACUUCCACCGGUUAUUUUUACUCCAUAGCUGGAGAUCCAUGUUGUUGAACCCUCCCACAUGGCCGUAUCUAUCAUAUAUGAAUCGCGGAGUGCAGAAACCCUGUGCCAAAUCUGGAUUGUGAGCUGUCCUGGGUAUUUUUAACGUAUCUAAAACCUGUUGCACUGUGAUGGCUCUUGGAGCAAUCAGAUAUUGUUCUUUUAGAGGAAUCUCAUCAUUUUCGAUAUACCAAGCUAUUUCUUCCAACGUUGGAGUUAACUCAAAAUCCGAGAAGUGAAAAACAUUAUGUGCCGGUUCCCCGAAAUUAACCAGAGCUCUGAUGAUAUCACCCCGAGGAUUGAUGUCUAAUAAACCCGUGAGACCCUUCAGAUAUUUCUUUACUUCAUCAUGCCCCUCUUUUCCCAAGUCAUUCCACCAUAAUAUCAACUCGAAAGGGACUUUGGUCAUUAUUGAAAAAGGUUCAUUUUCCAUUGUGCUCAUCCUGUCCCCUCUUUGUCCAAGUUAUUCCACCAUAAUUUCAACUCGAAAGGGGCUUUGGUUAAUAUUGAAAAAGGUUCAUUUUCCAUUGUGCUCAUCCUGCACAUUUAUUAAGGUGAAUAAAAGAAGAAAAACUUAUAUUCAACUCAAAGAAAACAAAACCAUCUAUAUUCUUUUUCAAAAUUAAAGAAAAAUUCGGUUUUCAAAACACGGCCUUCGACUUACACGACUCUUUUUUUUCAAAAAAAUAAACGACCCGUUAUAUUAAACAAGGCCUCUCAUCGCCUCGGGGACGUUGAUUUUAUGGAUGUUUGGGUCAAAAAUUAAAAUAUGACCAAAGGUGGCUGUUUAUGCAAAGUCGGCCUUCCGGCGUCCCGUUUGGAAACUUUCGGCUAUUCUCGCAAAACGGCAUCACCUAACUUAUUUAUGAUACAAAUUAAAAAUUUUGACAUUUUGGGCUAUUUUUGAAGGAAGGAUUGGACCCGAUGAGGGUUGCCUACGUAUCUCAUGCCCUGUGAGAAUCAAACCGGCGUAGUUCGGGCAAAUAAACUAACUAAAAUUUUAAACAAAACAUUUCCCAAACUUUUCUCCAUUUUCUAUUUUUUGAAAUCACAUCAAAAUGACCAUUUUUCUAUUUUUCAAACAAUUUUUCCAAAAUAAAAGUUUUUUUUUCUUUUGCUUUUAAUAAACUACAUAAAAAACAUUUUCUGUUUUUUUCCUUUUCAUUAUUUCCAAAAUAAAAGAUAUUUUUUUUUCUUUGGAUUUUAAUAAAUUACAUAAAAAACAUUUUUUUCUUUUUUUUUUUAAAAUUCCGGCAGAGUUUCAACAGUACUUGGGCAUCGUGUUUUAUUCAAUUUGUUAACUCCCUAACGGCUAUUCCUCUCAUUUUCUCUUGUUUUGAUUUUCUCAAAUUCCGACAUUCCAAAAAUCGGUCAACAUGUAGGUUCAGACAAAUAAAUGCACAGAACAAGUAGGAUGCACCAGGAUGGUCUUUUUAUUUCAGGUUGCUAGCCCUAGACGGACCCAACUCCUGUGUUGAGUCCCUUAAGUCAAAUGCGGCAUGAUGCAAAUAAGCGUUCCUACUAGUGAUCCGGCAUGAAGUCAAGUUAUUCUAUGUUCAAAACCUGGGUCGGUGUUAUAGAUAGUGUACUCGAGCGCAUAACUCGAAUCAAGGAGGGGGCAACUUACCGGUGACCCGCGGGUCAGGCGGCUUAGUAACUUAUCCUGCCUCUUUCUUAUUUCAGGGUAUGACACUAACAGAAUAUGGAG